GCUAGGUGUGGUGGUGGACACCUGUAAUCCCAGCUACUCGGGAGGCUGAGGCGGAAGAAUCACUUGAACCCAGGAGGCAGAGGCUGCAGUGAGCUGAGAUCGCUCCACUGCACUCCAGCCUGGGUGACAGAGUGAGACUCCAUCUCAA
rnacentral:SRP_RNA from 2 species